rnacentral:rRNA from 1 species
UGGGGAAUCUUGGACAAUGGGCGAAAGCCUGAUCCAGCAAUGCCGCGUGCGUGAAGAAGGCCUUCGGGUUGUAAAGCGCUUUUGUCGGGGAGGAAAUCCUAACGGUUAAUACCUGUUGGGGAUGACAGUACCCGAAGAAUAAGCACCGGCUAACUACGUGCCAGCAGCCGCGGUAAUACGUAGGGUGCAAGCGUUAAUCGGAAUUACUGGGCGUAAAGCGUCCGCAGGUGGCUUGAUAAGAUAGACGUGAAAUCCCUGGGCUCAACCUAGGAAUUGCGUAUAUGACUGUCUCGCUAGAGUAUGGGAGAGGGGGGUGGAAUUCCGCGUGUAGCAGUGAAAUGCGUAGAGAUGCGGAGGAACACCGAUGGCGAAGGCAACCCCCUGGCCUAAUACUGACACUCAUGGACGAAAGCGUGGGGAGCAAACA